rnacentral:lncRNA from 1 species
CCCAGGUGUGUUUUAGGGUACCCCAGCUGUGCCCAGGUGUGUUUCAGGGUACCCCAGGUGUGUUUUAGGGUACCCCAGGUGUGUUUUAGGGUGCCCCAGGUGUGUUUCAGGGUACCCCAGGUGUGUUUUAGGGUGCCCCAGGUGUAUUUUAGGGUGCCCCAGGUGCCCCCAGGUGCCCCCAGGUGUGCCCCAGGUGUACCCCAGGUGUGUUUUAGGGUGCCCCAGGUGUGUUUUAGUGUGCCCCAGGUGUGUUUUAGGGUGCCCCAGGUGUGUUUUAGGGUGCCCCAGGUGUGUUUUAGGGUACCCCAGGUGUGUUUCAGGGUACCCCAGCUGUGCCCAGGUGUGUUUCAGGUCCCCCCAGGUGUGCCCAGGUGUGUUUUGGCCCUCACCAGCUCCACCACGUGCACCUGGGCGGGCAGCGCCCGGCGCCGCACCACCGCCUCCAGCAGCCGCCGCAGCCGCUCGCUGUUGUCCUCCAGCAGCGCCACCGUGAACAGGCGCAGCG